UCGUGCUGUCGGCAUCGGGUACUACAAACGAUGGCAUCACUCUAAACAGAAGGACAUCUAGGCGCCUAGCUUAGUUAUGACAGCCUUGCAUCGACUCUCUUUUUUGGGCACAGCAAGCUUCUCGGGCUUGCUUUGCGCAGUUUCGACUAACAAUGCAGUAAAUCGUUUCUAAAUUUCUAAUGGAGGCAUAUAUCAUGCAGGAGAAGCAACCGCGGCCAAAUUUAAGAAUGUCAGGCACCGCUGGUUGAAGAUUGUUUCCGGCGUGGAAAAACCGAGGAGCGGCUCCAGCGGAAAUGUUGGGAAAGUAAAAACAAAGUGGAUUUUAUUUGACGUGAUCAACGUUCUUAAGAACACGCCGCACUACGCUGAAAGGACCGCCACAAACUUGCCGGUUGAGGAAUAUAGGGACACAGAGCAGCCCUCCACAUCCAGUUCGACUGCAGCAAGUCUUGACCUCGCAGAGAGCUGUCCCCUGAGCCCUGCUAAGGUUGUUUUUGAAGCAAUUAAAUAAUCCAGGUACUCCAAUGGCCCUGCUCUCUUGCUAUCAAAGGAAAACAGCCCAAGCAUCUAUGAACACCCAGGCACGGGAGCCGAUGUAGGUCCUUCACGGUAAG
rnacentral:lncRNA from 1 species